rnacentral:rRNA from 1 species
AAACUGCUUUUAUAUAGGAAGAAAAACUUUCUCGUGAGAAAGCUCGACGGUACUAUAAGAAUAAGGAUCGGCUAACUCCGUGCCAGCAGCCGCGGUAAUACGGAGGAUCCAAGCGUUAUCCGGAAUCAUUGGGUUUAAAGGGUCCGUAGGUGGACAAAUAAGUCAGAGGUGAAAUCCUGCAGCUCAACUGUAGAACUGCCUUUGAUACUGUUUGUCUUGAGUUAUUAUGAAGUGGUUAGAAUGUGUAGUGUAGCGGUGAAAUGCAUAGAUAUUACACAGAAUACCGAUUGCGAAGGCAGAUCACUAAUAAUUAACUGACACUGAGGGACGAAAGCGUGGGUAGCGAACAGGAUUAGAUACCCUGGUAGUCCACGCCGUAAACGAUGGUCACUAGCUGUUUGGACUUCGGUCUGAGUGGCUAAGCGAAAGUGAUAAGUGACCCACCUGGGGAGUACGUUCGCAAGAAUGAAACUCAAAGGAAUUGACGGGGGCCCGCACAAGCGGCGGAGCAUGUGGUUUAAUUCGAUGAUACGCGAGGAACCUUACCAGGGCUUAAAUGUUAGGUGACAGAUCUAGAAAUAGAUUUUUCUUCGGACACUUAACAAGGUGCUGCAUGGUUGUCGUCAGCUCGUGCCGUGAGGUGUCAGGUUAAGUCCUAUAACGAGCGCAACCCCUGUUGUUAGUUGCCAGCGAGUAAUGUCGGGAACUCUAGCAAGACUGCCAGUGCAAACUGUGAGGAAGGUGGGGAUGACGUCAAAUCAUCACGGCCCUUACGUCCUGGGCUACACACGUGCUACAAUGGUAGGUACAGAGAGCAGCCAAUGCGCGAGCAUGAGCAAAUCUAUAAAACCUAUCUCAGUUCGGAUCGGAGUCUGCAACUCGACUCCGUGAAGCUGGAAUCGCUAGUAAUCGGAUAUCAGCCAUGAUCCGGUGAAUACGUUCCCGGGCCUUGUACACACCGCCCGUCAAGCCAUGGAAGUUGGGAGUGCCUGAAGUCCGUUUCCGCAAGGAUCGGCCUAGGGUAAAAUCGAUAACUAGGGCUAAGUCGUAACAAGGUAGCCGUACCGGAAGGUGCGGCUGGAACACCUCCUUUCU